rnacentral:rRNA from 1 species
GACGAACGCUGGCGGCGUGCUUAACACAUGCAAGUCGAACGGAAAGGCCCUGCUUUUGUGGGGUUCUCGAGUGGCGAACGGGUGAGUAACACGUGAGUAACCUGCCCUUGACUUUGGGAUAACUUCAGGAAACUGGGGCUAAUACCGGAUAGGAGCUCCUGCUGCAUGGUGGGGGUUGGAAAGUUUCGGCUGUUGGGGAUGGACUCGCGGCUUAUCAGCUUGUUGGUGGGGUAGUGGCUUACCAAGGCUUUGACGGGUAGCCGGCCUGAGAGGGUGACCGGCGACAUUGGGACUGAGAUACGGACCAGACUCCUACGGGAGGCAGCAGUGGGGAAUAUUGCACAAUGGGCGGAAGCCUGAUGCAGAAACGCCGCGUGCGGGAUGACGGCCUUCGGGUUGUAAACCGCUUUCGCCUGUGACGAAGCGUGAGUGACGGUAAUGGGUAAAGAAGCACCGGCUAACUACGUG